rnacentral:rRNA from 1 species
GACGAACGCUGGCGGCGUGCUUAACACAUGCAAGUCGAACGGAAAGGCCCUGCUUUUGUGGGGUGCUCGAGUGGCGAACGGGUGAGUAACACGUGAGUAACCUGCCCUUGACUUUGGGAUAACUUCAGGAAACUGGGGCUAAUACCGGAUAGGAGCUCCUGCUGCAUGGUGGGGGUUGGAAAGUUUCGGCGGUUGGGGAUGGACUCGCGGCUUAUCAGCUUGUUGGUGGGGUAGUGGCUUACCAAGGCUUUGACGGGUAGCCGGCCAGAGAGGGUGACCGGCCACAAUGGGACUGAGAUACGGCCCAGACUCCUACGGGAGGCAGCAGUGGGGAAUAUGGCGCAAUGGGCGGAAGCCUGAGGCAGCGACGCCGCGGGCGGGAUGAAGGGCUUCGGGUUGUAAACCGCUUUCGCAUGUGACGAAGCGUGAGUGACGGUAAUGGGUAAAGAAGCACCGGCUAACUACGUG